AAGAGAGAAAAUUCAGCUACAAAUUGUGGAGGAUAUCAUCAGUCAGCUUCGAGAGAUUCGACAGUUAACAGAACCUGGAAAGGCUGCCCGCAGGGCCUCAUUGCCUCCUCUAACAUCUAAUGUUAUGUCAAAGAAAAGGCGUUGGCGAAGCGGUCCUUUGCUGGUGGAAGGGAGCAGUUAAGAUAGUGCAGAGACUUUUCAUGGCUCUGAUAGCACCUGCAAUAUAAUAUUUCACUCCAUUUUUCAGUGUGACAAGUGAAUAUUAAAC
rnacentral:misc_RNA from 1 species